CUGCGACAUGCGCGCAGAUCAUCUUCUGGGAUGUUGGACUUGGAUUUGGUGCACUUGGCUGCGUCGCUCUAUGUAGGACACGCUACAUAAGAGUCCUCCCACGUCCAACGAGACGACUUAAAACACGCGAGAAACCAAGAGGAGGGCCCGGUGACCGACUUCCGGUCUUGUCCAUACUGACUAUGUUGAACUUGAUGUUUCCCAAACCGGCCAUCGCAGACAAAUCUAUCACAGGAACCUGGAGCAACCCGCUGUGAUCUGCUGGACGUGGCGGUGUUUCUGCAGCGUCGGUGGACGUGAUGUGGCACGCGUCACAGGGGAAGGACAAUGUUUCUACCCACUGACCAGCAGGGGGCGACUCCUCCGGUUCCAUAGACGUCUAUGAGAAAAGGACU
ensembl:lncRNA